rnacentral:rRNA from 2 species
ACGGGAGGCAGCAGUGGGGAAUAUUGCGCAAUGGGGGAAACCCUGACGCAGCAACGCCGCGUGAGUGAAGAAGUAUUUCGGUAUGUAAAGCUCUAUCAACGGGGACGAGAUUGACGGUACCCGUAUAAGAAGUCCCGGCUAACUACGUGCCAGCAGCCGCGGUAAUACGUAGGGGACAAGCGUUAUCCGGAUUUACUGGGUGUAAAGGGUGCGCAGGCGGCAAAGUAAGUCAGAAGUGAAAGCCCGUGGCUCAACUGCGGGACUGCUUUUGAAACUGCUAAGCUAGAGUACUGGAGGGGUAAGCGGAAUUCCUAGUGUAGCGGUGAAAUGCGUAGAUAUUAGGAAGAACACCGGAGGCGAAGGCGGCUUACUGGACAGAAACUGACGCUCAGGCACGAAGGCGUGGGGAGCAAACAGGAUUAGAUACCCUGGUA